UCCCCAUGUCGGUGUGUGUUUGCUCUGCCGUUCAGGGAAGGUUGUUUUCUCCCACAAACAGUUAUUCAUGCUCAAUGAACUACUCCAGAAGGUUCAGCUGGGUUCUCUUACUUAUUCCAACAACACAAGGGAGAUUCUGGUACCCUUCUCAUGCACAGUUUAAAUCCUAACCCUAACCCUGUCUAAUAUAUAUUUAUAACCCCGUCUAACAGAUAUUUAGCUCUAGCGACCAUCUCCAGUGGGGCAAUUAGUUACCUGUGUGAGGGGCAGUUAGUUACCUUUAGUUACCUGUGUGAGGGGCAGUUAUUUACAGUUAGUUACCUGUGUGAGGGGCAGUUAGUUACCUGUGUGACUGGGUGCUGCUAGGAGAAGUGGUCAGAAACAAAUGGUCAAGACCUGAAGAGGUCACAGGAAAGCUUUGAAGAGACCAGAGGGAAGCUGAAACGGACGACAUCAGGGGAAAGCAGGAGACCUUGUGAGGAGGCUGAAGCCAUGAAAAGAUUGUGGGGAAUCUGAAGAGAUCUGUGUGAAGCCUGACGAGAUCUGGGUAGAAGACUGCACAGCUGGUGAGAAGACUGCACAGCUGGUGAGAAGACUGCACAGCUGGUGAGAAGACUGAGGAGCUGAAGAGAAGAACCUGUGAAGAAACCAGGAAGAAGCUGAAGACCAAGUGAAGCAGGAGAGAUGAGACACCAAGAUGAGUGCCUUUAGUGAGACACCAAGUAAACAAGAUUACCUACAAUCCCAAGCAGCAUCCACAGCAUCACUGUUGUGAAACCAAGGUCAAAGCCUGCCCCAUCAAUGUUCUGUGUGUAAAAGACAUUUAGUGACAUUAGUCCCCCUGUUAGGAUGCUGGAGAAUAUGUUUGCUACAUUGUUUAUUCCUUUUGUGUUACAGGUUCACAAUAUUUUCAUUCAUAAUUAAUUUCUUUGUCAAAUUUCAUGACCGUAAGCAAGUGAGGAUCGUCAGGGAGGGAAACCGUGCUAAUUCCCUCACAAAACCCUUGUCUGCCAAACCGCUUGGAGACGAGGUUGUUGCCAAACCGCUUGGAGACGAGGUUGUUGGCUGAUGCAGACCUGAUAACGACUCAGCUGCAUUAGAAUCAUAAUUUAUUUUUCAUUGAGCAAGUCCAACAAAAUUAAAAUAAAUUAGUGUCAUGUU